GAUGAACGCUGACCGAAUGCUUAACACAUGCAAGUCAACUUGAACUUCGGUUUGGGUGGCGGACGGGUGAGUAACGCGUAAAGAACUUGCCUCACAGAUAGGGACAACAUUUGGAAACGAAUGCUAAUACCUGAUAUUAUGAUUUUAGGGCAUCCUAGGAUUAUGAAAGCUAUAUGCGCUGUGAGAGAGCUUUGCGUCCCAUUAGCUAGUUGGAGAGGUAACGGCCCACCAAGGCGAUGAUGGGUAGCCGGCCUGAGAGGGUGAUCGGCCACAAGGGGACUGAGACACGGCCCUUACUCCUACGGGAGGCAGCAGUGGGGAAUAUUGGACAAUGGACCAAGAGUCUGAUCCAGCAAUUCUGUGUGCACGAUGAAGUUUUUCGGAAUGUAAAGUGCUUUCAGUUGGGAAGAAAAAAAUGACGGUACCAACAGAAGAAGUGACGGCUAAAUACGUG
rnacentral:rRNA from 1 species